rnacentral:rRNA from 1 species
GCGAUCUAUCCAUGGGCAGGUUGAAGGUUAGGUAACACUGACUGGAGGACCGAACCGACUACCGUUGAAAAGUUAGCGGAUGACCUGUGGAUCGGAGUGAAAGGCUAAUCAAGCUCGGAGAUAGCUGGUUCUCCUCGAAAGCUAUUUAGGUAGCGCCUCGUGUAUCACUGCUGGGGGUAGAGCACUGUUUCGGCUAGGGGGUCAUCCCGACUUACCAAACCGAUGCAAACUCCGAAUACCAGCAAGUGUCAGCACGGGAGACACACGGCGGGUGCUAACGUCCGUCGUGAAAAGGGAAACAACCCAGACCGUCAGCUAAGGUCCCAAAGUUAUGGUUAAGUGGGAAACGAUGUGGGAAGGCUUAGACAGCUAGGAGGUUGGCUUAGAAGCAGCCACCCUUUAAAGAAAGCGUAAUAGCUCACUAGUCGAGUCGGCCUGCGCGGAAGAUGUAACGGGGCUCAAACCAUACACCGAAGCUACGGGUUCAACGUAAGUUGAGCGGUAGAGGAGCGUUCUGUAAGCCUGUGAAGGUGAGUUGAGAAGCUUGCUGGAGGUAUCAGAAGUGCGAAUGCUGACAUGAGUAACGACAAUGCGAGUGAAAAACUCGCACGCCGAAAGACCAAGGUUUCCUGCGCAACGUUAAUCGACGCAGGGUGAGUCGGCCCCUAAGGCGAGGCAGAAAUGCGUAGUCGAUGGGAAACGGGUUAAUAUUCCCGUACUUCUAAUUACUGCGAUGGAGGGACGGAGAAGGCUAGGCCAGCACGGCGUUGGUUGUCCGUGUUUAAGGUGGUAGGCUGAAUGCUUAGGUAAAUCCGGGCGUUCAAGGCCGAGAGCUGAUGACGAGUUGUCCUUUGGACGAUGAAGUGGUUGAUGCCAUGCUUCCAGGAAAAGCUUCUAAGCUUCAGGUAAUUAGGAACCGUACCCCAAACCGACACAGGUGGUUAGGUAGAGAAUACCAAGGCGCUUGAGAGAACUCGGGUGAAGGAACUAGGCAAAAUGGCACCGUAACUUCGGGAGAAGGUGCGCCGGUGAGUGUGAAGGGUUUACCCCGUAAGCACAUGCCGGUCGAAGAUACCAGGCCGCUGCGACUGUUUAUUAAAAACACAGCACUCUGCAAACACGAAAGUGGACGUAUAGGGUGUGACGCCUGCCCGGUGCCGGAAGGUUAAUUGAUGGGGUUAGCUAACGCGAAGCUCUUGAUCGAAGCCCCGGUAAACGGCGGCCGUAACUAUAACGGUCCUAAGGUAGCGAAAUUCCUUGUCGGGUAAGUUCCGACCUGCACGAAUGGCGUAACGAUGGCGGCGCUGUCUCCACCCGAGACUCAGUGAAAUUGAAAUCGCUGUGAAGAUGCAGUGUAUCCGCGGCUAGACGGAAAGACCCCGUGAACCUUUACUAUAGCUUUGCACUGGACUUUGAGCUUGCUUGUGUAGGAUAGGUGGGAGGCUUUGAAGUGGGGACGCCAGUUCUCAUGGAGCCAUCCUUGAAAUACCACCCUGGCAACCUUGAGGUUCUAACUCUGGUCCGUUAUCCGGAUCGAGGACAGUGUAUGGUGGGUAGUUUGACUGGGGCGGUCUCCUCCUAAAGAGUAACGGAGGAGUACGAAGGUGCGCUCAGACCGGUCGGAAAUCGGUCGUAGAGUAUAAAGGCAAAAGCGCGCUUGACUGCGAGACAGACACGUCGAGCAGGUACGAAAGUAGGUCUUAGUGAUCCGGUGGUUCUGUAUGGAAGGGCCAUCGCUCAACGGAUAAAAGGUACUCCGGGGAUAACAGGCUGAUACCGCCCAAGAGUUCAUAUCGACGGCGGUGUUUGGCACCUCGAUGUCGGCUCAUCACAUCCUGGGGCUGAAGCCGGUCCCAAGGGUAUGGCUGUUCGCCAUUUAAAGUGGUACGCGAGCUGGGUUUAGAACGUCGUGAGACAGUUCGGUCCCUAUCUGCCGUGGACGUUUGAGAUUUGAGAGGGGCUGCUCCUAGUACGAGAGGACCGGAGUGGACGAACCUCUGGUGUUCCGGUUGUCACGCCAGUGGCAUUGCCGGGUAGCUAUGUUCGGGAAAGAUAACCGCUGAAAGCAUCUAAGCGGGAAACUUGCCUCAAGAUGAGAUCUCACUGGAACCUCGAGUUCCCUAAAGGGCCGUCGAAGACUACGACGUUGAUAGGCUGGGUGUGUAAGCGUUGUGAGGCGUUGAGCUAACCAGUACUAAUUGCCCGUGAGGCUUGACCAUA